rnacentral:rRNA from 1 species
UACGUAGGGUGCAAGCGUUAAUCGGAAUUACUGGGCGUAAAGCGUGCGCAGGCGGUUUUGUAAGUCUGUCGUGAAAUCCCCGGGCUCAACCUGGGAAUUGCGAUGGAGACUGCAAGGCUAGAAUCUGGCAGAGGGGGGUAGAAUUCCAGGUGUAGCAGUGAAAUGCGUAGAGAUCUGGAGGAACACCGAUGGCGAAGGCAGCCCCCUGGGCUAACACUGACGCUCAUGCACGAAAGCGUGGGGAGCAAACAGG